rnacentral:rRNA from 1 species
GCUUAACGCGAAGAACCUUACCAGCUCUUGACAUCCCGCGCUAUCCGGAGAGAUCCGGGGUUCCCUUCGGGGACGCGGUGACAGGUGCUGCAUGGCUGUCGUCAGCUCGUGUCGUGAGAUGUUGGGUUAAGUCCCGCAACGAGCGCAACCCUCGCCCUUAGUUGCCAUCAUUCAGUUGGGCACUCUAGGGGGACUGCCGGUGAUAAGCCGAGAGGAAGGUGGGGAUGACGUCAAGUCCUCAUGGCCCUUACGGGCUGGGCUACACACGUGCUACAAUGGCGGUGACAAUGAGCAGCGACCUCGCGAGGGGAAGCUAAUCACAAAAAGCCGUCUCAGUUCGGAUUGCACUCUGCAACUCGGGUGCAUGAAGUUGGAAUCGCUAGUAAUCGCAGAUCAGCACGCUGCGGUGAAUACG